rnacentral:rRNA from 1 species
GUUGAACGCUGGCGGCAGGCCUAACACAUGCAAGUCGAGCGGAUGAAGGGAGCUUGCUCCUGGAUUCAGCGGCGGACGGGUGAGUGAUGCCUAGGAAUCUGCCUGGUAGGGGGGGAUAACGUCCGGAAACGGGCGCUAAUACCGCAUACGUCCUGAGGGAGAAAGUGGGGGAUCUUCGGACCUCACGCUAUCAGAUGAGCCUAGGUCGGAUUAGCUAGUUGGUUGGGUAAGGGCCUACCAAGGCGACGAUCCGUAACUGGUCUGAGAGGCUGAUCAGUCACACUGGAACUGAGACACGGUCAAGAGUCCUACGGGAGGCCGCAGUGGGGAAUAUUGGACAAUGGGCGAAAGCAUGAUACAGCCAUGCCGAGUGUGUGAAGAAGGUCUUCGGAUUGUAAAGCACGUUAAGUGGGGAGGAAGGGCAGUAAGUUUAUACCUUGCUGUUUUGACGGUACCAACAGAAUAAGCACCGGCUAACUUCGUG